GCGCGAAGCGCCCUGAAAGCCUAGUAUAGAUAAAAUUAGCUCAUAUUCUGGCACCUGUGUAAAUCCUAUUCUAACAGAAAACAAUGAUCAUGAAGAUGAAACCAGAACCCGAGACAGCCGAGGGAGGAGCCAAAGCCCAGACUGCUCCACAACGGACCUACCGCCAAUCUUAUUUAUUGGGACCAGAAAAACCCGCUCCCAGGGGGGUCGAGGGGGCGGACCCCCCAACAGAAAAAAAAACAGAACUUUGGGUGCUCCCUAUGUGGGAACCCCCCUGGUUAAGAAAAUUGUCGAGGAGGCGGAGGAUGAGGAACUACAGACCGUGACCGACUUCAGCCAGCUGGCGUCAGAAACUGAGACCUGCUUGGAGUGAAGAGGAGGCUGGCUGGAGCCCUUUUUUUUGCCGCCAAUUUUGUUUUUUUAUGCCCCCUUUUUGUGGGCUAACCCAUUGUAUUGGUAAAAUUGUUUUGCUUUUUGAAAAUAAAGUGUGUAAAUUUGA